rnacentral:rRNA from 1 species
UACGUAGGGUGCAAGCGUUAUCCGGAAUUAUUGGGCGUAAAGAGCUCGUAGGCGGCUUGUCACGUCGAUUGUGGAAAGCCCGAGGCUUAACCUCGGGUCUGCAGUCGAUACGGGCUAGCUAGAGUGUGGUAGGGGAGAUCGGAAUUCCUGGUGUAGCGGUGAAAUGCGCAGAUAUCAGGAGGAACACCGGUGGCGAAGGCGGAUCUCUGGGCCUGUUCUGACGCUGAGGAGCGAAAGCGUGGGGAGCAAACAGG